ACCAACAUGACUGUGCAUUACUAGAAAUCCAGAACCUUCAGAACUCAGGAGAAAGCCUAGGCCAGCUGGAACUGCCGAGCAGGCCUCACAGGGGAAAUGACAGAUGAAUUUUGAAGGAGCAUACACGUGAUACGGAGGAGGAUAUCAGCAAAGAGACGGAAAUGAGCUCGUGUGUGGUUUGUUGAAAGUGGAGUGGAAUCUGGUCCGGCUAGAAUUUCUGGGGCACCGAAGGGGGCACAAACAAUGCGUCAUCGGCUUCUACUUGCCUAUCAGUAGCAGAGGCUUGAAAUGUCCUUUACCAGUAAAGUGAAAGAUGCAUGACACGCACUGAACACCGUGGGAGUGUUUGUAAAAUGAAUCCUUAACCCAGGUCUUCACGAGACAGACACGGAAAUGAAGGUUUUCUUCUGGAUACCCCAGAUCUUUGAUGAUGCCAGUGAGGAAACAUCCACACCCUUUGGUUAGACGGUGAAGCAUGAGGCUGUGGUUAUUUUCAUCAUUUACUCCAUGGAAGGUUGAAAGCUGUUAAGCAGAAUCAAUCUUAGGACAGAGAACGGUGGAACUCCGGAAGGUGCAACCUUACCAGCAUCUUGGUGGAUGCUUCCCGAUUGUAGCAUCCUUUUCAUCUUCAACUUAUAUUCCAAGCUGUUACCUAGAAUAAAUCCCACCAUUUCUAGCUAAUGCACGGUCUUUGUUUUGAAUGGAAAAGAGGGAAAAUAUAUUGAUCCCCUCUGGCAGCACAGGAGAUACGCCUAAAAUGGAAUAUCUUUCACCAUCAUGAAUAACAUUAAUCUUUACAGUUCUCCAAAGUAAAUAAUUACUGUAUAGUUGGCUUCCUAUUUAUAUGAAUUGACAGCAUCCUUUGAGUCUCCAGGUGACAGAAAUUCUCUCCAGAAACCAUUCUUAAGAUUAUUGUCAAAUUCCUUAAUGAGGAAUUAGAAGCUAAAGUGGCUAGCCUCUAGGUACAACCGGUUGGCAACAUGCUGAUCUUCUCCCUUCUGGAUUCUUCAGAGAGGGUUGAUGGAUAAAGCUCUGAAGAGCUGUUGAGCAUGCCAAGUCUUCUGGUGUGAGGGCAGCCACCAUGCCCCAGUCUAUGCUGAGCCUGUCUUGUGUAUUUCCAAGUACUCAGGUGGUUGGGGAACACAACAUUUCAGAUGAGGAAAUGACUUUGGUGAGCAUCACCUCAAGUAGCCACACUAUGUCCUUCUUUCAUUGAUCAUCAGACAAGAAUCCUCCGCAUGAAGCACCUGGGUGGCUCAGUCGUUAAGCGACUGCC